GCUACAUUACAUUGAAACUCUGAUUCUCGUAUGUUCACCGAAGUUAAGCAACGUUGAGCCUGGUCAGUACCUAGAUGGGUGACCGUUUGAAAAUGCCAGGUGCUGUAA